GAUGAACGCUGGCGGCGUGCCUAAUACAUGCAAGUCGAGCGAACAGAUGAGGAGCUUGCUCCUCUGACGUUAGCGGCGGACGGGUGAGUAACACGUGGAUAACCUACCUAUAAGACUGGGAUAACUUCGGGAAACCGGAGCUAAUACCGGAUAAUAUAUUGAACCGCAUGGUUCAAUAGUGAAAGACGGUUUUGCUGUCACUUAUAGAUGGAUCCGCGCCGCAUUAGCUAGUUGGUAAGGUAACGGCUUACCAAGGCAACGAUGCGUAGCCGACCUGAGAGGGUGAUCGGCCACACUGGAACUGAGACACGGUCCAGACUCCUACGGGAGGCAGCAGUAGGGAAUCUUCCGCAAUGGGCGAAAGCCUGACGGAGCAACGCCGCGUGAGUGAUGAAGGUCUUCGGAUCGUAAAACUCUGUUAUUAGGGAAGGACAAAUGUGUAAGUAACUAUGCACGUCUCGACGGUACCUAAUCAGAAAGCCACGGCUAACUACGUG
rnacentral:rRNA from 1 species